UCUUCAUAAGAGUAUAGGACGUACUCAAAUGAUUAUUAGUUAGUGAUUAAGAUCCACAAUGACGCUUAGUAAAUCUGAUAAGAUCCUUGAAUAUUUUGAGGAAGAAACUCAAAAAUCUUUGAUAUCUCUUCUCUAAGAUUCUUCUUCCAUUGACCUUCUUCCUCGUUGUUUCAUCUUGUUAAGACUUCAUUCUGUACGGAAAUAAGCUCUUGAACUAAAAAAUGGAUAGUAAAUUAUUGACUUUAUGGACUUUUAAGCCAACCUAUAAUUUAUUGACUUUUAUU
rnacentral:sRNA from 1 species